rnacentral:rRNA from 1 species
UGCAAGGAAACUGGUCACUCGAAGAGGAACUGUAGCAAGUGGCUUGCAGAGCAUGGCAAGAAGGCCGGGAAUGCUGCUUCAGGCAAAGGUACACUUAUUGCAUAUGUUAUAGACAUUUACCUUGCUGACAUACCUAGUAGCUCUUGGGUAUUUGAUACCGGAUCGGUUGUUCAUAUUUGCAACUCGAUGCAGGGGCUGGUAAGAACUAGGCAUAUGGCACAAGGGGAGAUUGACAUCAGGGUCGGCAACAAAGCAAGAGUUGCUGCAUUGGAGGUCGGCACAAUGCAGCUCCAGCUUCCUUCUGGAUUUAUUUUGGAGUUGAAUAAUUGUUAUUACAUUCCUGCAAUUAGUCGGAACAUUAUUUCUGCCUCAUGCUUGAUGAGU